CGAACGGGUGAGUAACACGUGAGUAACCUGCCCCAGACUCUGGGAUAACCCCGGGAAACCGGAGCUAAUACCGGAUAUGACACGAAGAGGCAUCUCUAUCGUGUGGAAAGUUUUUCGGUCUGGGAUGGACUCGCGGCCUAUCAGCUUGUUGGUGAGGUAACGGCUCACCAAGGCGACGACGGGUAGCCGGCCUGAGAGGGCGAUCGGCCACACUGGGACUGAGACACGGCCCAG
rnacentral:rRNA from 1 species